rnacentral:rRNA from 1 species
GACGAACCGUGCAAACGUUGUUCGGGAUCACUGGGCUUAAAGGGCGCGUAGGCGGCUUGCCAAGUCAGGGGUGAAAUCUUUCGGCUUAACCGGAAAAGUGCCUCUGAUACUGGCGAGCUAGAGGGAGGUAGGGGCAUGUGGAACUUCCGGUGGAGCGGUGAAAUGCGUUGAUAUCGGAAGGAACGCCGGUGGCGAAAGCGACGUGCUGGAUCUCUUCUGACGCUGAGGCGCGAAAGCUAGGGGAGCGAACGGG